rnacentral:tRNA from 1 species
GCGGGUGUAGCUCAGUGGUAGAGCGCUGGCUUCCCAAGCCAGUUGCGAGGGUUCGAUCCCCUUCAUCCGCUCCA